AAGUCGUAACAAGGUUUCCGUAGGUGAACCUGCGGAAGGAUCAUUAAACAUAUUACGGGGGGCCGGAACCACUGAUUGCGUGUCUCAUGCUCUCGACCUGCCCUGUCUGAAUAUUCUACCCAUGUCUUUUGCGUACUAUUUGUUUCCUUGGUGGGCUUGCCCGCCGAUAGGACACCAUAAAACCUUUUGUAAUUGCAGUCAGCGUCAGAAAUAAUUUAAUAAUUAAAACUUUCAACAACGGAUCUCUUGGUUCUG
rnacentral:misc_RNA from 1 species